rnacentral:rRNA from 1 species
GACGAACGCUGGCGGCAGGCCUAACACAUGCAAGUCGAACGCUCGUAGCAAUACGAGAGUGGCAGACGGGUGAGUAACACGUGGGAACCUUCCCUAUGGUUCGGGAUAGCUCAGGGAAACUUGGGGUAAUACCGGAUAAGCCCUUCGGGGAAAGGAUUUAUCGCCAUUGGAUGGGCCCGCGUCGGAUUAGCUAGUUGGUGAGGUAACGGCUCACCAAGGCAACGAUCCGUAGCUGGUCUGAGAGGAUGAUCAG